GCUUGUACUUUUUGACUGACAUGCUUGCUUCUACGUGUUCUGGGAAGAGAGCAGAGCAAGGUAGUUCAUUACAUACAGCAAUAGAACACAGAAGAGUUUGUCUUGGUGAAACAGGUUGCACUUUAGUUUGCUUUCCUUGACUCAAUCCAUGCAGUUCUUUAAAAGAACGAUCAUCUGAAGUUUUUUGCUUAUAGAUUCUGUCUUUGCUGCAAUCAAAUUUGUAUCCUGAUCCAAGAUGUUUUGCUUCAUUCAGUUUACAACUACGUCAGCACCUGCCAUGUGUAAACAGUAUGAUCAGCAUAG